rnacentral:lncRNA from 1 species
GAAGGCGCCAUCUUGGGAAGGGUGGAGUGAACUAACAUGAUUAUCUUCCUAGUGAAAAGAAAGAAACUUUAGUAGGCCUGGAAAGAUCUAAACACCCUUUGAAGACCUGCCGUUCGCCAGGCACUGCUUGGUGCAUCUCACAGGUUAAUUUAUUUAAAAUCUUACAGAAGUCAUAUGAGCUAAAGAUUAGCAUAUUAAUUCUAGUAGAAAUAACAACAAUCAAAAUAGCUAAUGUUGAUACACUGCUUACUUGUGUCACUUUACAUAUUUCAGCUGGAGAAGGAAAUGGCAACCCACUCCAAUAUUCUUGUCUGGAGAAUUCCAGAAACAGAGGAACUUGACAAGCUGCAGUCCAUGGGGUCAUAGAGAGCCGGACACUGCUGAGUGACUAACACACACACGUAUUUCAGCUGGAGAAGAAGCAAAGGCUGUCUGGGUGACCAAGAGUCUUCAUGAAAGCACCUUCUCCAUUCCUUCAUUCCAGAGAGCCUCCCCUGCACCCCGACUCCAUCUUCUUCCUCCCCGAGUUCAGCCUCCACACGACACACGCAGGGAGUUGACUGUUCUGCUUUUAUUCGAGCAUUCUAUACCCAACACACGGCUAACAAGGGCCUGCUCUGUGUUGGGAUUCAUGCCCGGGGCUUUGCACACGCUCUCCCCAUUUACCUGCAUAGCAGCCUGGGGCCCCCAGGGAGGACUUUUACACCCAUUUGACAGAUGAGAAGAGAGUGACGGUGACUCACAGCUGAACCAGAAUUCCAUCCAGGGAUAUUGACUGUAAAGACUCUGCUCUUGCAACUCAUAACCGUCUACUCAUUCAUUCAAAAAAAAGUUAUUUUUGACACGUGCCAGCUGUUGUGCAAGGCGCCGGAGGUAUAGAAAUAAACGAGAUGGACACGGCGCUUGUCUCUGUGUC